rnacentral:rRNA from 1 species
UAACGUUACCAAACUGUUGCCUCGGCGGGAUCUUCUGCCCCGGGUGCGUCGCAGCCCCGGACCAAGGCGCCCGCCGGAGGAAUCAACCAAAACUCUUAUUGUAUACCCCCUCGCGGGUUUUUUUUAUAAUCUGAGCCUUCUCGGCGCCUCUCGUAGGCGUUUCGAAAAUGAAUCAAAACUUUCAACAACGGAUCUCUUGGUUCUGGCAUCGAUGAAGAACGCAGCGAAAUGCGAUAAGUAAUGUGAAUUGCAGAAUUCAGUGAAUCAUCGAAUCUUUGAACGCACAUUGCGCCCGCCAGUAUUCUGGCGGGCAUGCCUGUCCGAGCGUCAUUUCAACCCUCGAACCCCUCCGGGGGGUCGGCGUUGGGGAUCGGCCUUCCUUCACGGGGGCCGUCUCCGAAAUACAGUGGCGGUCUCGCCGCAGCCUCUCCUGCGCAGUAGUUUGCACACUCGCAUCGGGAGCGCGGCGCGUCCACAGCCGUUAAACACCCAACUUUCUGAAAUGUUGACCUCGGAUCAGGUAGGAAUACCCGCUGAACUU